UAGAUGCAACUCUUUACAGCACCUUCCUUGGUGUCUGUGUGUGGCCUGGACCCUCAGCUGAACUGACAAGCAAGAUAUCUGUGUCAGUGUACACCUCUCAUCCAUUACUGGGUCAGGGUCUGUAGGUCAGACUACCACAGCUGGUGCCCCGCGUGAGGAAUGCUGCAAGGGGAGAUUGAUGAACCCCCUGAAAAUGAAGGUGAAAAAGGAACUGCGCAGUCAGUGAGUAAUCAGAUGCAAAGCCGGAAUGAAAGCGAUGACUGCCUUGCCUGACAGACGUGUUGCUGCACACAUCUGUACACUUCAGUCAACAGAAGAGCGUGUGCACUUAUUAGAUGAGUGUUGGUAUCAAUGGAUACAUGUACAUAUCUUAGUUUUCCAAAUUCAGGGAUGUAACUUCUGUUUGCCAUAACUGAUUAGGUUCUAAUCCUCUAGGGUUAACACCUUUUGUGUUAGAACCUGUGAAGUAGAAGUAACUCAGAAGUGCUCCUCAGAGAGUAGACAGCUCUUUCUCUAACCGUUUCCAGCUCAGUAGAAUUUAGAAAGGCUUCUAGGAGGCCAACCAGUCUUUUUGAUCCAACAUUGAAUUGUAAAACCGGAUAUGGAAGCCAAAUUUCACAGUGGAUCUAACAAAGUAGCUAAUGGGUACUAUGCUUCUGAGAACCUGAACAGGCAUCUGAGAGCUGUAACUAGAAGAAAAGUAAAGACUCCGGACUCCAGCACCAAGCAGGUUUUCCUUAGCAAUUUACAACCUGAAGCUCCAAGGAAAAACUAUUUUAGCAUACACCAAAACUAUUCCCAUGUGCCAACAGGUAAGGAGACUUGUACUUAUAUUCUGUUUUAUUCUUCUCUAACUCGUUUCUGUGCACUAUUUCUAUGUUUUCUCCUUAGUUUUACCUUGCCUGGGUUUGCCCAUUUGUUAUUCAUAUCUAUUUAUCAAUCCCAAAAUACUAAAAGGAUCCAGGCAGGGCAGCUUUAAUUGGUGGCUGCACAGAGUGCUACUUCCUGUGAGGCAGCAAUUCUAACCCUAGUUGGCAUACACUUCAGAUUUUCUCAACAGCAGAAGAUGUAACCUUCCCAAGAACCCACUUCAACCCUCAGUUCUCUCACUUCUAUGUCCACGUGACACUCUGAUACAUUUUCCCACUAUGAAAAGAACUGUUCUCUUGAUAGCAUGCCAUACCUCUCCCUUCUCUGCAACUCACUCAGGACAAUCUCAGUACCUUUAUUACCUGGUCACAAGUGAGGAUGCUUCACACUCAAAUCUCAUUGGCUGGAGGGAAAGUCAUUAAGCAGAAGUGAUAAUUCUUGUCAUCACAGCUUUCUCCAAACCUUCUCCAUCGGCAUUUUACUCUCACUCUUAGAGCUUAGCUUCAACCAUCAAACAGACAGUUGAGUGUUCAACAGUCCCUUUAUGGGACAGAUUUUUUUAGUUGACUGUGUAUUCUAACCCUGAGCAAUGGGGCCCCUGGCUAAGAGAGAGAAGGGAAAGCAGAGAGGGAAGUGUUGCAAUGCUACCUUUUCAGAGAGGAAAUAGAGACAAAUAGUUUUUAUGGGUGUAAUACACAGCCUCCACUGUCCCACAAUAAGAGCAAUUGAGCUUAAAUACCAAAAAGGGCUUUUCUAUGUGAGCUGAAAACAGAAAGAGAGAGCAAAUGGGAGGAUGGGCUGGAGUAAUCUUGUUUGAAGUUCUCUCAUCCUAAGGAAGAACCUUUUCUUCCUCUGUCAUACACGAGUGCUUAGGGCUUACAUAAGCCCCAUCUGCACGCUGCUAGGAGCAGAUCAUCCUACUCAAGACAAUAAAAAAGGAAUCAUCAUGUACCUUACAUAUUUAGAGAUACGUGCGUACACUUUUCUCAUAAAUAAAGCAACACACCCCUGCCUGACCUCCUAGGACCUCCAUAGUUGAGGUAUAGUUAUUUGGAGUCAGAGAUUCUUAAACCAAUCCUGGUUCUGCUUUUUUCACUUCACCAAACCAAACUUGACCAGAUUCUUUAAUGGCUCCAAAAUCACAACCCUUUGAACUAUUUUACUCCUGUUUUCCAUUUUCCUUUAUACCUCUGUCCAGGUGGUACAGAUUUUUCUUAAAAAUCUAUGUCUGAGUGUACAGAGCUUCAAGUAAAGUUCAAGAAGGGAAUAGGAGAUCUAUCACCUUCCUUAUUACAGAAAUAUUGCUGAUAUUAAUGCAGGCUAAUGUUAUAUUAAGUCCCUUGACAGGUAUAUCAAACUAUUUGGUCUUAUCCAGUUGGUGGUCAACCAGAUAGUUAUAAGUGAGAUGGAGAGACAGGUCAUUCUCUUCCCAUAGCCCUCUCUUCCUUACCCUAUUUACCCCAAAACGCUGAGGCAGGAAAUAAUGCAUACUCCUUUGUGCACUGCUCCUCCAUUUCCCAUUUUUAAAUGGAGACAUACUUAAGGCAUAAUCUUCAGCCCUUUGCUCAUCUCUCUACACUCAUUCUCCUGCAGAUCUCAGUCACCCUCAUGGCAUCAAUCAUGAUGCCACAGAAAAACCCAUUAGUGUAUAGUCUCUGGCUUCAUCUCAGUAUAUGUACUGGGCACAUCCGUCUGGAUGUUCC
rnacentral:lncRNA from 1 species